rnacentral:rRNA from 1 species
CCUACGGGUGGCAGCAGUGAGGAAUAUUGGUCAAUGGGCGCGAGCCUGAACCAGCCAAGCAGCGUGAAGGAUGACUGCCCUACGGGUUGUAAACUUCUUUUAUAAAGGGAUAAAGUGAGGCACGCGUGCCUUUUUGUAUGUACCUUAUGAAUAAGGAUCGGCUAACUCCGUGCCAGCAGCCGCGGUAAUACGGAGGAUCCGAGCGUUAUCCGGAUUUAUUGGGUUUAAAGGGUGCGUAGGCGGGUUGUUAAGUUAGUGGUGAAAGUUUGCGGCUCAACCUUAAAAUUGCAAUUGAUACUGGCAGUCUUGAGGAGAGUGGAGGUAGGCGGAAUGCGUGGUGUAGCGGUGAAAUGCUUAGAUAUCACGAAGAACUCCGAUUGCGAAGGCAGCUUACUAAAC